GACGAACGCUGGCGGCAGGCUUAACACAUGCAAGUCGAGCGCCCCGCAGGGGGAGCGGCAGACGGGUGAGUAACGCGUGGGAAUCUACCCAUCUCUACGGAAUAACGCAUGGAAACGUGUGCUAAUACCGUAUAUGUCCUUCGGGAGAAAGAUUUAUCGGAGAUGGAUGAGCCCGCGUUGGAUUAGCUAGUUGGUGGGGUAAAGGCCUACCAAGGCGACGAUCCAUAGCUGGUCUGAGAGGAUGAUCAGCCACACUGGGACUGAGACACGGCCCAGACUCCUACGGGAGGCAGCAGUGGGGAAUAUUGGAUAAUGGGCGCAAGCCUGAUCCAGCCAUGCCGCGUGAGUGAUGAAGGCCCUAGGGUUGUAAAGCUCUUUCACCGGUGAAGAUAAUGACGGUAACCGGAGAAGAAGCCCCGGCUAACUUCGUGCCAGCCGCCGCGGUAACAC
rnacentral:rRNA from 1 species